CCUACGGGUGGCUGCAGUCGAGAAUCAUUCACAAUGGGGGAAACCCUGAUGGUGCGACGCCGCGUGGGGGAAUGAAGGUCUUCGGAUUGUACACCCCUGUCAUGUGGGAGCAAAUUAAAAAGAUAGUACCACACGAGGAAGAGACGGCUAACUCUGUGCCAGCAGCCGCGGUAAUACAGAGGUCUCACGCGUUGUUCGGAAUCACUGGGCGUAAAGCGUGCGUAGGCUGUUUCGUAAGUAGUGUGUGAAAGGCGCGAGCGCAACCCGCGGACGGCACAUGAUACUGCGAGACUAGAGUAAUGGAGGGGGAACCGGAAGUCUCGGUGUAGCAGUGAAAUGCGUAGAUAUCGAGAGGAACACUCGUGGCGAAGGCGGGUUCCUGGACAUUAACUGACGCUGAGGCACGAAGGCCAGGGGAGCGAAAGGGAUUAGAUACCCCUGUAGUC
rnacentral:rRNA from 1 species